rnacentral:lncRNA from 1 species
GGGCCCGAGACGGCCCGACCCGGUCCCCGCCCGCCCACGGCGCUGCUAGGAGCGCCCGUGGGAAACCACGAAAGGUCACUUCCGUUUGUAGGUAGGGCGUGUGUGAAUAGCUCGGCCCGUCGCGCCUGUACACACACACUCUGACACUCUCUCCCGGCCACACACACACACACACACACACACACACUCACACUCUCUCCCGGCCCUGGGGUCACCUUAGCUCUACGACCCCGCGAACUUCCGCGAACGAUCCAUGUCUUUACACCUCAUCCCGGAUUCGUUUUGGUGACCGAAGCCGAUGGAUUCUCAGACGAACGGCAUUUAACCAGUUCCCAAACCCUGGAGCCUUUGAUGCUUUGAAGAAUCUGAGUCCCAUCCCUGUGGCCUUCAAGACCAUACUAGCCGUGAACAGAAGUGCUCGCAAGGGCUCCAGGGGCAUCCAGACACCAUUGGCAAG